rnacentral:rRNA from 1 species
CCUACGGGUGGCAGCAGUAGGGAAUAUUGCACAAUGGGCGAAAGCCUGAUGCAGCAACGCCGCGUGCGCGAUGAAGACCUUCGGGUUGUAAAGCGCUUUUCUGAAGGACGAGGAAGGACGGUACUUCAAGAAUAAGGAUCGGCUAACUACGUGCCAGCAGCCGCGGUAAUACGUAGGAUCCGAGCGUUAUCCGAAUUUACUGGGCGUAAAGCGCGUGUAGGCGGUUUGAUAAGUUGGAUGUGAAAGCUCCCGGCUCAACUGGGAGAGGCCGUUCAAAACU